rnacentral:rRNA from 1 species
AGUGAACGCUGGCGGUAGGCCUAACACAUGCAAGUCGAACGGCAGCACAGGAGAGCUUGCUCUCUGGGUGGCGAGUGGCGGACGGGUGAGGAAUACAUCGGAAUCUACUUUUUCGUGGGGGAUAACGUAGGGAAACUUACGCUAAUACCGCAUACGACCUACGGGUGAAAGCAGGGGACCUUCGGGCCUUGCGCGAUUGAAUGAGCCGAUGUCGGAUUAGCUAGUUGGCGGGGUAAAGGCCCACCAAGGCGACGAUCCGUAGCUGGUCUGAGAGGAUGAUCAGCCAGACUGGAACUGGGACACGGUCCAGACUCCUACGGGAGGCAGCAGUGGGGAAUAUUGGACAAUGGGCGCAAGCCUGAUCCAGCCAUACCGCGUGGGUGAAGAAGGCCUUCGGGUUGUAAGGCCCUUUUGUUGGGAAAGAAAUCCAGCUGGCUAAUACCCGGUUGGGAUGACGGUACCCAAAGAAUAAGCACCGGCUAACUUCGUGCCAGCCGCCGCCGUAA